rnacentral:rRNA from 1 species
GACGAACGCUGGCGGCGUGCUUAACACAUGCAAGUCGAACGGAGUGCUCAUGACAGAGGUUUUGGCCAAUGGAUUGAGUUACUUAGUGGCGGACUGGUGAGUAACGCGUGAGGAACCUGCCUUUCAGAGGGGGACAACAGUUGGAAACGGCUGCUAAUACCGCAUAAGCGCACAGUACCGCAUGGUACCGUGUGAAAAACUCCGGUGGUAUGAGAUGGACCCGCGUCUGAUUAGCUAGUUGGUGGGGUAACGGCCUACCAAGGCAACGAUCAGUAGCCGACCUGAGAGGGUGACCGGCCACAUUGGGACUGAGAUACGGCCCAG